AGUCAUAUUGACUGGCACGACAUUUUUUCAUUCUCAAACCCUACCCACCACGACACCCUACCAGCACCCGACCUCCUCGAUCUUCCUCAUCCUCCGCCUCCAACCAUCACCCAACUACUCUCCGCCUCAGCCUCCGUCUCCACUCUGCUCCUUCUCUGCCUCCGUCUCCGUUCUCCUCCGGCACACCUCUUCUCUCAUCUCUCUCCUCAAAUCACCAAAUCCACCAAUGACGCAGUCCAUGCCGGAGCUCCGCCUUGUUCCCUCGUCGAGCCCACCAUGGAAGAUGAGACCUAACAUUUAAGACAAGCCUCGCGAUCGAUUCAGGUUUGUUGAGUGGAUGGGUUGUUGCUGUUCCGGGACUGAAAUUACUCAAGAUGUUGGAUGGAUACUUACUUCUUUUUCCAGUAGUUUCUGCAGUGCUUCCUUGUAGGAAUACCUUGUUACAGCAUCCAAGAACCCGAUCUUGUAUGUCUUCUUCAGUUCCCCUAGACUCCAGGAAACUGUUGGGACCAGGGUUUUGAUGCUAAUACCAGGAGGACUAAUUGAACUUCUUGUUGCCAAACAAGUAAUGUUUCCAGUUUUCCUUUCCUACUGCUGCUUCUUGUAAUACCCUACAGCGUGCUACCGAAACCUCCCCGAUUCGAACCAGACAUUGAUCUAGAAGUCCGGCUCUCUCCAGACCCAUGCAGGGCCAACAAAAUCCUGUCCGACGACGGUGAAAGGGCUCGCCACCGGACAGGGAGGUAGAAAAAUCAGGUUUUCUCUCAGUCGCUUAUUGUGGUAUGUACUUGGGUACAGGGCUUUUUAUGUAUAAGGAGAUGUUAGGUAAUUUGAAGUCCCAGUAUUUAUCUCUAGUCGCUAAGUAGAGACUAAUUUGUUCUAGUACUUGCUUCUGUUUUUGGUGUUUGAGCUAUAGGAAACAAUUAAAAAAUAGUAGUUACAAUGUAAAAUUAAACUAAAACUUCUAGAUUUAUGAACUCCAUUUGGCUAACGACAGUUGUUGCUCUAUGUUCAAGUUGAUCAAUCAGGAGUUGUCAAGUUGAUAGCUGGAAAUUGGAAUCAGUUAUAGAUCUGUUUCUUAUUACCCAAUUUACGUUUGUGAUUUAUAUAUUUGGUUCAAUUUACUCUGUUACUUGCAAUUUAUGUUAUCUUAUUGCCCAAUUUACAUUUGUGAUUUAUAUAUUUAUUGUUUUUUAAACUGCUACAACCCCUCAUCUUAUAUUUCACAUAUGCAGUUUAUUGAGACUGUAGGCUCUCCUUAUGUAAGUUGAUGUUUUAUUUUCUCUGUUAUAAGUUAACUGGAUUCAGCUUAACUUGAAUUUUUAGCUGGGCAGUAGCUCUUUCUGUUUGCUGAUUUUGGUGUGUUAAAAAUGCAUGUUUAAAUGUCGUUUUGUAUCCUAUGGUGACAUGUUAAAUACGAUUGAUGACAGCCUACUUGAUAUGUUGACAAUACUGGAAGCUCCCAAUGUCCUUACUAUUGCAUUGAAGCGAUUUCAGGAAAAUGUUGGGGAAAUUUGGGAAGAUCAAUAAGCCUGUACGGUUUCCUGAAAUUCUGGACUUGGCGCCUUAUAUGAGUGGUACAAGUGAUAGAACAAAUGGUUCAAGAUUGAUGACAGCACGGAAAAUUAUUGGCAGGAUAUUUGUCUACUUAUUGGUGUACCAUAGAGUCCUAUCGAUCUCUUUAAGGGUUUGCAUGUGUUUACUUACACAUGUUAUUGAUCUGACUAUUGUGUACUGGCCGGCUGCAAGGUUGGAGAGGUGUGGAAAGAGUUGCAGGUUGAGAUGGAUAAACUAUUUGAGACCAGAACUUAAGAGAGGCUGAAAUCUGAGAACCACACACAAUGAAAGGAAGACAUUGAAGAUCAGCAGCUCUCCACUUGUUAAUAGUUUCCAAAGUUAGUGAUAGGAUGGUUCAUGAGGUUGAUGGAGGGAAACAGGCAAUUUGUCACAAGAGACCCAGAAAAGGCUCACUUAUUUUAUCUUCCUUACAGCAUGCGCCAAUUGGAGUUGAAGCUUUAUGUACCUGGUUCACAUCAAAUUAAACCACUGGCAAUAUUCCUCAGAGACUAUGUGAACAUGAUUGCUGGGAAGUAUCCUUUCUGGAAUCGCACACAUGGGACAGAUCAUUUUCUUGUUGCUUGCCAUGACUGGGUUGGUAAUCUUUGAUCCUUGUUAUUUCCUUGUUACUGUCCCACGAAGAGUACCAAAUUCCUGAUGAUCUGUUGUACUGUUUUGUAUGUCUUUAAAUAUUAUGUGUGGAUUGUAGUAAUUGAUCUAGAAAGUUGAAAUACAAAAUUAGCAUUUUUUUUUUCCCAUCUUUUAUUGCAUAUUUUCCUUGAAAUUCUCACUUUAUAGUCUGAUUGGAAAUGUCUGUUUGUAAUUUGAGAAUGAUUUUAAAAUUAAAUAUCAUUCAGCCUAUAGCUGUUUCAUAUGAAGAGCAACAUAUACAAGUUCAUGCAGCUGUUAUACAGUUGUUUCAUGGUUAGUGUCCCGAGUUCUUUGAACUGAAACAUGGAUGAAUAUUUUCUGGGAUGACGGGGUUGGAUGCCAAACUGAAAAUUCUUACUGCAGCAAAUCUGAUAUAAUUAAAGAGCAUAAAGGUGAGGCUAGGGGCGAUUAAGAAGAAGAGGAACGCUGUGCUGAAGUAUCUGAAGAAUAAUGUUGCUGUUCUUCUCAAGCCUUCAUAUUAAUGUAUAUGGAGGGUUAAGUUUCAUGGCUCAUUAGUUUUAAUGUAUAUGAUGUGUCAAUUUUAUCAUUGUUUUGCUUGGCCUUAAUAGAAAUUAAUACAUUCCCUAAUAUUUAAAGUACAUUUGAAUUUCAUGUUA